rnacentral:rRNA from 1 species
AGCGAACGUUAGCGGCGGGCCUAACACAUGCAAGUCGAACGCGAAAGGUCUUCGGACUGAGUAGAGUGGCGCACGGGUGAGUAACACGUAGGUAAUCUACCCUUUGGCGGGGGAUAACGUUCCGAAAGGAGCGCUAAUACCGCAUAAGACCACGGAGUCUCCGGACGCUGUGGGAAAAGGUGGCCUCUUCUUGAAAGCUACCACCGAAGGAUGAGCCUGCGUCCCAUCAGCUAGUUGGUAAGGUAAUGGCUUACCAAGGCGAAGACGGGUAGCUGGUUUGAGAGAAUGAUCAGCCACACUGGCACUGGAACACGGGCCAGACUCCUACGGGAGGCAGCAGUGAGGAAUAUUGGGCAAUGGGCGAAAGCCUGACCCAGCCACGCCGCGUGAGUGAUGAAGACCCUCGGGUCGUAAAGCUCUGUGGAGAGGGACGAAAACCCUAGGUUUCAAAUAAGGCUCCAGGCUUGACGGUACCUCUUUAGCAAGCACCGGCUAACUCUGUGCCAGCAGCCGCGG